AACGAACGCUGGCGGCAUGCUUAACACAUGCAAGUCGAACGGAGGUCGGGGGCUUGCCCUUGGCCUCAGUGGCGAACGGGUGAGUAACGCGUGGGAACCUGCCUUGGAGUGGGGGAUAACCGCUGGAAACGGCGGCUAAUACCGCAUGUGCCCCGAGGGGCAAAGCCCGGGAUUUCGGUCUUGGGCGCUACGAGAGGGGCCCGCGUCCGAUUAGCUUGUUGGUGGGGUAACGGCCUACCAAGGCAUCGAUCGGAGCUGGUCUGAGAGGAUGAUCAGCCAUACUGGGACUGCGACACGGCCCAGACUCCUACGGGAGGCAGCAGUGGGGAAUAUUGGACAAUGGGCGCAAGCCUGAUCCAGCAAUGCCGCGU
rnacentral:rRNA from 1 species